GCUAAACGCGAAGAACCUUACCAAGGCUUGACAUAUACGAGAACGGGCCAGAAAUGGUCAACUCUUUGGACACUCGUAAACGGGUGGUGCAUGGUUGUCGUCAGCUCGUGUCGUGAGAUGUUGGGUUAAGUCCCGCAACGAGCGCAACCCUCGUUCUAUGUUGCCAGCACGUAAUGGUGGGAACUCAUGGGAUACUGCCGGGGUCAACUCGGAGGAAGGUGGGGAUGACGUCAAAUCAUCAUGCCCCUUAUGUCUUGGGCUUCACGCAUGCUACAAUGGCCGGUACAAAGGGCUGCAAUACCGUGAGGUGGAGCCAAUCCCAUAAAGCCAGUCUCAGUUCGGAUUGGAGUCUGCAACUCGACUCCAUGAAGUCGGAGUCGCUAGUAAUCCCGGAUCAGCAACGCCGGGGUGAAUACGUUCCCGGGUCUUGUACACACCG
rnacentral:rRNA from 1 species